UACGGAGGGUGCAAGCGUUAUCCGGAUUCACUGGGUUUAAAGGGUGCGUAGGUGGGCAGGUAAGUCAGUGGUGAAAUCUCCGAGCUUAACUCGGAACUGCCGUUGAUACUAUUUGUCUUGAAUAUUGUGGAGGUAAGCGGAAUAUGUCAUGUAGCGGUGAAAUGCUUAGAUAUGACAUAGAACACCAAUUGCGAAGGCAGC
rnacentral:rRNA from 1 species